CAGCCACUCAAACCACGGCUGCAGACCCAGCCUGCCCAUGGCCACCCAUGGACCAAUUGCAUGCACUUCUUCCCCUCUAAGACCCAUAAAAGCCCUGGGCUCAGUCAGACCACGGAACAGAGGGAGGAUGGGACAACCAGUUGUAGAGAGGAGCUACCUUCUCUGCUGAGAGCUGCAGACAAUGGGACAACCUGCUUGUAGAGUGGAGCCACUCACUUUAUGGCCUCCUCUCUGCUGAGAGCUGCAGACAAUGGGAUGACCUGCCCGCAGAGAGGAGCCACUUCCUCUCUGCCAAGAGCUGCAGAUGACAGGAUGACCAGCUGCAGAGAGGAGUUACCUUCUCUGCUGAUAGCAGGAGCUACCCUCUCUGCUGAGAACUGAACACUUGUUGGGACAACCUGCCUGCGGAGAGGAGCUAUCCUCUCCGCUAGGAGUUAAACACUCAUCAGGACAUCCUGGCCAUGGAGAGGAGCUGCUCACUGCGGGUCUUCUCUGAGCUGUUGUAUUGCUCAAUAAAGCUCCUCUCUG
rnacentral:lncRNA from 10 species